GGUUCCAUAGUGUAGUGGUUAACAUGUCUGCUUUACACACAGAAGGUCCUGGGUUCCCGCUCCAGUGGAGCCA
rfam:Pteropus alecto contig22674, whole genome shotgun sequence.